GAUGAACGCUGGCGGCGUGCCUAAUACAUGCAAGUCGAGCGAACAGACGAGAGUGCUUGCACUCUCUGACGUUAGCGGCGGACGGGUGAGUAACACGUGGGUAACCUACCUAUAAGACUGGGAUAACUUCGGGAAACCGGAGCUAAUACCGGAUAAUAUUUAGCUUCGCAUGAAGCAAUAGUGAAAGACGGUUCUGCUGUCACUUAUAGAUGGACCCGCGGUGUAUUAGCUAGUUGGUGAGGUAACGGCUCACCAAGGCAACGAUACAUAGCCGACCUGAGAGGGUGAGCUGCCACACUGGGACUGAGACACGGCCCAGACUCCUGCGGGAGGCAGCAGUAGGGAAUCUUCCGCAAUGGACGAAAGUCUGACGGAGCAAUGCCGCGUGAGUGAAGAAGGUGUUCGGAUCGUAAAACUCUGUUGUAAGGGAAGAACAAGUACGUUAGUAACUGAACGUACCUUGACGGUACCUUACCAGAAAGCCACGGCUAACUACGUG
rnacentral:rRNA from 1 species